CAGUUCAACCAAUGAUUUAUCAUUGCGUUCAAGACAACUAGCUAGCAUUUUAGCUAAUGUGUUUUUAUUCCCGCCAAUGCGUACAAUAAAAUGGGUUUAGUUAUAUUUUUGUUCUCCGGUCCCCCGGCCGCUUUUGAUUACUGUUAAUGGCACAGACGUCCCAUUCGAAUGGUAGUUGCCCUUUCAACUUCCAUGGUAGUUUCUAUGCCUACCUACUUGGUGACCACGGGUAGCUGUGAAUCAGGAUUUAAUUCCGGAGAGGGAGUCUGGAAAACGUCUAGCACAUCCAGGGAAAGCACCAGGAACGCAAAUGAUCAACUCCCGAGUCAGGGAGGCAAGUAACUCACGUUAGCCAGCUAGUGAUGAAAAUAGCAAUACUGGACCUUUUGGAGUUCCUGUAAUUGGAAUGAGUACACAUAAAAUACUUGAAUGAGGAUCCAUUACUGAUUCUUAGAACUG
rnacentral:ncRNA from 1 species